GUAAGGAAUAUUGGACAAUGGUGGCAACACUGAUCCAGCCAUGCCGCGUGAAGGAUGAAGGCCCUAUGGGUUGUAAACUUCUUUUGAAUGGGAGAAAACCCUCUUACGUGUAAGAGGCUGAUAGUACCAUUAGAAUAAGCAUCGGCUAACUCCGUGCCAGCAGCCGCGGUAAUACGGAGGAUGCAAGCGUUAUCCGGAUUCAUUGGGUUUAAAGGGUGCGUAGGCGGAAUAAUAAGUCAGUGGUGAAAUCCUGCAGCUUAACUGUAGAAUUGCCGUUGAUACUGUUGUUCUUGAGUACACAUGGGGUGAGUGGAAUGUGACAUGUAGCGGUGAAAUGCUUAGAUAUGUCACAGAACACCAAUCGCGAAGGCAGCUCACCAAAGUGUAACUGACGCUGAUGCACGAAAGCGUGGGGAUCAAACAGGAUUAGAUACCCGGGUAGUCC
rnacentral:rRNA from 1 species